rnacentral:SRP_RNA from 1 species
GGAGGGUUGGGGUGGACAGGUGCCUCGCCAAUUCGGUCAGGUCCGGAAGGAAGCAGCCGCAACGAGUUUUUUCUGGGUCACUUUUCAACCUUCCGCU